rnacentral:rRNA from 1 species
GAUGAACGCUGGCGGCGUGCCUAAUACAUGCAAGUCGAGCGAAGCGGCGGAUGGGUGAGUAAUGCGUGGGUAACCUGCACUUAAGUCUGGGAUGCCAUUUGGUAACACAUGCUAAUACCGGAUACUAAAGGAUGGACCUGCGUGGCAUUAGCUAGUUGGUAAGGUAACGGCUUACCCAGGCGAUGAUGCAUAGCCGGGUUGAGAGAGUGAUCGGCCACAUUGGGACUGAGACACGGCCCAGACUCCUACGGGAGGCAGCAGUGGGGAAUCUUGCACAAUGGACGAAAGUCUGAUGGAGCCACGCCGCGUGAGUGAAGAAGGUUUUCGGAUCGUAAAGCUCUGUUGUUGGUGAAGCGGUAAUCAACCAGAAAGUCACGGCUAACUACGUGCCAGCAGCCGCGGUAAUUC